GACGAACGCUGGCGGCGUGCUUAACACAUGCAAGUCGAGCGGAAAGGCCCUUUCGGGGGUACUCGAGCGGCGAACGGGUGAGUAACACGUGAGUAAUCUGCCCCUGGCUUUGGGAUAGCCACCGGAAACGGUGAUUAAUACCGGAUACGACCACUUCUCGCAUGGGAUGGUGGUGGAAAGUUUUUCGGCCAGGGAUGUGCUCGCGGCCUAUCAGCUUGAUGGUGAGGUAAUGGCUCACCAUGGCUUCGACGGGUAGCCGGCCUGAGCGGGUGGCCGGUCACACGGGGACUGAGACACGGCCCAGACUCCGACGGGAGGCAGCAGUGGGGAAUAUUGGACAAUGGGCGGAAGCCUGAUCCAGCAACGCCGCGUGAGGGAUGACGGCCUUCGGGUUGUAAACCUCUUUCAGCAGGGACGAAGCGCAAGUGACGGUACCUGCAGAAGAAGCACCGGCCAACUACGUGCCAGCCGCCGCCGUAA
rnacentral:rRNA from 1 species